AGGCGGCCAUGUCCCGCCCUCGCAUGCGCCUGGUGGUCACCGCGGACGACUUUGGUUACUGCCCGCGACGCGAUGAGGGUAUCGUGGAGGCCUUUCUGGCCGGGGCUGUGACCAGCGUGUCCCUGCUGGUCAACGGUGCGGCCACGGAGAGCGCGGCGGAGCUGGCCCGCAGGCACAGCAUCCCCACGGGCCUCCACGCCAACCUGUCCGAGGGCCGCCCCGUGGGUCCGGCCCGCCGUGGCGCCUCAUCGCUGCUCGGCCCGGAAGGCUUCUUCCUUGGCAAGAUGGGAUUCCGGGAGGCGGUGGCGGCCGGAGACGUGGAUUUGCCUCAGGUGCGGAGCCGCAGCUACAGGAGGAUGCUCGCGAGGACCCCCAGAGCUCCGCCCGGAGGGUACUGUGAGGCCGUUAGGAGCUGGCGGUGGAUGACUUCCGCAUUCAAACACUGGAGCCAUCACACGGAAGCACGAGGAGGGUAUCCUCGGCAGCUACUCCCGGUCGCUCAAGGUGUCUCUCGCUCGCCCUCUAGGUGCGGGAGGAGCUCGAGGCCCAACUAAGCUGCUUCCGGGAGCUGCUGGGCAGGGCCCCCACGCACGCGGACGGGCACCAGCACGUGCACGUGCUCCCAGGCGUGUGCCAGGUGUUCGCCGAGGCGCUGCAGGCCUAUGGGGUGCGCUUUACGCGACUGCCGCUGGAGCGCGGUGUGGGUGGCUGCACUUGGCUGGAGGCCCCCGCGCGUGCCUUCGCCUGCGCCGUGGAGCGCGACGCCCGGGCCGCCGUGGGCCCCUUCUCCCGCCACGGCCUGCGGUGGACAGACGCCUUCGUGGGCCUGAGCACUUGCGGCCGGCACAUGUCCGCUCACCGCGUGUCCGGGGCCCUGGCGCGGGUCCUGGAAGGUACCCUAGCGGGCCACACCCUGACAGCCGAGCUGAUGGCGCACCCCGGCUACCCCAGUGUGCCUCCCACCGGCGGCUGCGGUGAAGGCCCCGACGCUUUCUCUUGCUCUUGGGAGCGGCUGCAUGAGCUGCGCGUCCUCACCGCGCCCACGCUGCGGGCCCAGCUUGCCCAGGAUGGCGUGCAGCUUUGCGCCCUCGACGACCUGGACUCCAAGAGGCCAGGGGAGGAGGUCCCCUGUGAGCCCACUCUGGAACCCUUCCUGGAACCCUCCCUACUCUGACCCCCUACAGACAACCAAGCACUAAUCCCCUUAGUACCAAGAAAGGGGAGCCAGGAUUUAGUCCUGGCCCAGCCCAGAGCUGGGACCUGGAGCACGAUCUGUUGACUUCCCUGGGUAGGACACUGCCACCUCUGGGCUCAGGUCCUCAUGCCUCCAAAUGGCAUCUAGAGUUUGAGCAGCCUUCUUGGCUGCAGGCAGGCCUAGCCUGUGGCAGCGGGCUAGGGCCCGCAGAGCAUUUGGUGCCCCUCCAUGUUGCAAUGCAAACACCUUCACCACUGGGGCAGUGGGGAGAGAUGGCUAUAUUAAUAAAAUAACGUGUGUCUUUCAAA